rnacentral:lncRNA from 1 species
AACUGGUCUCCUGAUCCAAUUAAAUAUAAAAAGGCGGCCUUUAGAAGCUACUUUAGGAGGCCAUUUCUAUAUAGCACAGAUAGAUAAGAUCUUGAAGACGAGUUACAGUUCAUAUACAAGAUAGGAAAGCAACAUGGAUAUAGCCUUGGGUUCUUGAAACAUUUGCAGAACAAGGCUGAGAUGGCAUUAAAUAGAAUAAAUGCCACAAAUCAAAUCAUACAAGGCGGACCAGAGAACAAAGAACAUUACGUUGCAUUGCCAGCCCAAGUCGCAAAGCGUAAAACAGUAAAAAGCAUUUUAAAAAAGAUAAAAAGAAAGCCAGUGAUACGUAGGACGCAGACAAUAUUUAAUACCAACAGUUCAGAAAGCACCUUGGCGCUGCAGCGGGGGUACAGGAUUGGCUCG